rnacentral:misc_RNA from 1 species
GAAAUGCGAUAAGUAAUGUGAAUUGCAGAAUUCCGUGAAUCGUCGAAUCUUUGAACGCACAUUGCGCCCUCUGGCAUUCCGGGGGGCAUGCCUGUCCGAGCGUCAUUACGCACCCUCAAGCCCGGCUUGUGUGAUGGGCCCCGGCGUCUCGUUCGCGAGACGGGCCCGAAAGGCAGCGGCGGCGUCGACCCGAUGAGCCCGAGCGUAUGGGGACUUCUGUCACACGUUCGCGGUGCGGACCGGCGCCUGCUUUGACUUUUCUGAUUAUCCAGGUUGACCUCGGAUCAGGUAGGGAUACCCGCUGAACUUAAGC